rnacentral:rRNA from 1 species
GACGUGGGGCGCGAGCGUUGUCCGGAUUUAUUGGGCGUAAAGAGCUCGUAGGCGGCUCGUUGCGUCGGCUGUGAAAACCCGCAGCUCAACUGUGGGCUUGCAGCCGAUACGGGCGGGCUGGGAUUCGGUAGGGGAGACUGGAAUUCCUGGUGUAGCGGUGAAAUGCGCAGAUAUCAGGAGGAACACCGGUGGCGAAGGCGGGUCUCUGGGCCGAUACUGACGCUGAGGAGCGAAAGCGUGGGGAGCGAACAGG